CAGCGCCACAAGUGGGGACCAGUAUUAUUGGGCCUAAAGCGUCCGUAGCCGGAUGAGUACAUCCUUUGUGAAAUUGUUGGGCUUAACCUAACAGCGUGCAGAGGACACGGCUUAUCUUGAGACCGGGAGGAGUCAGAGGUAUGCUGGGGGAAGCGGUAAAAUGCUGUAAUCCUCAGUAGACCACCUGUGGCGAAGGCGUCUGACUAGAACGGGUCUGACGGUGAGGGACGAAAGCUGGGGGAGCGAUCCGGAUUAGAUACCCGAGUAGUCC
rnacentral:rRNA from 1 species